GCGUUUAUGCUAUAAUAUCGGUAUGCAAACAAGUGAAGAUGGUGGCUAUCCUGGAAAGGUGGUGGUGCCUAUGGUUUUAAAAUCAUAACCCCCAGCAUCCUAGGAAAGGAGAAGCCUGAUGUCCGUAGUGGAUGUCUUAACAUUGUUGUGGGCGUUUGGAAUGUUUGUUCUAACGCUCAUCGGCAUUGU
rfam:Fructobacillus sp. EFB-N1 FEFB_c000046, whole genome shotgun sequence.